rnacentral:rRNA from 1 species
AAUAGAUACCCGGGUAGUCCACGCUGUAAACAAUGGACACUUGGUGUUGGAGGUAUUGACCCCUUCAGUGCCGUAGCUAACGCGUUAAGUGUCCCGCCUGGGGAGUACGGUCGCAAGAUUAAAACUCAAAGAAAUUGACGGGGGCCCGCACAAGCGGUGGAGCAUGUGGUUUAAUUCGAUGCAACGCGAAAAACCUUACCUGGGUUUGAAUUGCAAAGGAAGACAGUAGAGAUAUUGUCGCUCUUCGGAGUCUUUGUGAAGGUGCUGCAUGGCUGUCGUCAGCUCGUGCCGUGAGAUGUUGGGUUAAGUCCCGCAACGAGCGCAACCCUUACCUUUAGUUGCCAGCAUUUAGUUGGGCACUCUAAAGGGACUGCCGACGUUAAGUCGGAGGAAGGUGGGGAUGACGUCAAGUCCUCAUGGCCCUUAUGUCCAGGGCUACACACGUGCUACAAUGGAUAUUACAGAGGGUUGCUAAUCCGUAAGGUAGAGCUAAUCCCACAAAAAUAUUCUAAGUUCGGAUUGAGGUCUGCAACUCGACCUCAUGAAAC